AACCUUGGAGAUAGAAAGAAAGUGAUAAACUUAUUGUAUCAACUUCUGCUGUUUAAAAAUGUGUUCAAUCUUCUGAACUGACACGCCAGCAACAACCUGUACAGUAUUAAAUAGUCUUGUUUAACACAUCCUUUGCAAAUGGUGAUGUAAAUGGUAUCUGUUCCUUAGGCCUCUGAAAAGUGGGUAUUUUGUCUUUAAUACAUGAACCACAUUCAGGCUAACAGUUGAACUUCACAUGUUUCAAAAGAUUUGCUUUCACAAACUCAGCCGAGCUUAUGAAAAUCUACCCUCUGCUGCUGAAAAAGGAAGAGAAAGUUUGAGGCAGGCAUCAUGUUAUGGGUCUGCAGAUUGCAGCCUUCGGAAGGACAGCAUAUGCAGGAGGAGCUUGCGGCAAGGCCUACAGUGUUUACCAGCUCAUAGCAGUCAACGGAAGACUUUCCCAUGAAAUCCAAUCACAAAAUAGUUGGUGCAGUAAGUAUCCCAUUUCAAAAUGUAGUCUAGAUGCUGAUUUGACUUUGAUAAUGCAAUCUGUAUUUUUCUGAGCAUGCUAUUAGGGUGGCCACAUGUCCUACUUCACAGAGGACAGUCCUCUGUUUAAGGGCUGCCAUGUCCAAGUCUGAGUUAAAGGGAGGGACAGCAGGGGCUUGAAGCAGACUGAGUGACCUAGUCACAGUCUUCCUCAAAGUGGUAAGGUGUAUUUCUUUUUUAAUUAUAGCAACUGGAUUGUAUCCAAUGCAGUGCUAAGUAACCAUCUUGUCAGUACCAGGAUUUCCACUUGCAACAGGACUUCCCUCCCUCCUUCCCCUGCUCCCCCCCCCAGUACAUAUAGAAAUUUUCAUAUUCAAAUCAUUUUAUUUUAAACAUAAAUAGUGUUCUCUAUAAAUAUGUAUCUAUUUUCCCUAUAAGUCAACAGUUACUGCAGGUUGAAAACUCUGAAUUCCACCCUCCAACUGAGAAUGUGUGAACAAGCAUGUACAUAAUUUAGGAACAAGUAUUUGAUUUCCAUAAUCAUUAAGCUACUGCUCACAAUAUUUUUACUUCAGAAUAGCCCCGCUGAUGUAGGGGAAUCUCUAUACAUUAUAAAUAAGUAGCCUGAGAGUGCCCUCAGGCAAUCCUAACUUCAGGUUAUGCCCCCUGGGUAGUACAGGAUACUUCAAAGCUCUUUGGCAAACCACAGAGCUAUGCUGUCAGUAAAUAAUGUCUGUGUAGUGAUUCCUUCGCAGUGUGAGAGGCCACUGGAGAGAGGCAGAAAUGAACCUUAGCCAGAAUCCUAUAUUCAUUCAGUGGUUGAUCCUACCAAUUAUGAUGGCAUACCCUGCUAUUUUUAUAGGAAAAGAGGUGCCAGAACUCACCAUGAACACCUUCCUUGUUCUCUUAUAAUGGCAAUGGCAUCCACCUGAAAGGUGCCGGAACUGAUGAAAAAAGUCCCAAUGGCAUAGCAUUAUGCCCACAAAAAAUGCCUCACAUACCCACCAUUUCCCCCUCCAGUCACAACAAUAAAGCAAUUGCAGGUACUGGAUGAGCUCCAAGCAUCCAGACUGGCCUUUGAUUUGCCUUAAUAGUAAGGUUUCAGGCUGGGACUUUGCCUGGGCUACUACAAUCUUCACUGACUCAGACUUACCCUCUUAAUUCUGACCAACUUCCUAGAUCCCACUUAUAGGCUUCCUUCAGCUCCAUGUGUCUGUGUGCACAUGUACAUGCUCUGUGCAACAUUAAAAUUGCAUGUGUAUGAAAUCAUUGGCACCCCAGCAGGACUUGAACUCUUUUUCUGGGGAGCCUCUGUAUUCUACACACAUUCCUCCUGGCAAUUCAGGCCAUAGAUUGUGCAGUUCUCUACUCCUUGGAGCAUGCUUCUGCACUUUGUUUAUACUUGAUAAGGCGAGGAUGUGGUUGCUGCAUUCUGGUGGGUGCCCUUGCACAUAGAUAACAUGAGGAUGUC